rnacentral:rRNA from 1 species
UACGGAGGGUGCAAGCGUUAUCCGGAUUCACUGGGUUUAAAGGGUGCAUAGGUGGGUCUGUAAGUCAGUGGUGAAAUCUCCGGGCUUAACCCGGAAACUGCCAUUGAUACUAUAGGUCUUGAAUCUUCUGGAGGUUAGCGGAAUAUGUCAUGUAGCGGUGAAAUGCUUAGAUAUGACAUAGAACACCAAUUGCGAAGGCAUCUGGCUAGAAGAGUAUUGACACUGAGGCACGAAAGCGUGGGGAUCAAACAGG